UACGUAGGGACCAAGCGUUGUUCGGAUUUACUGGGCGUAAAGGGCUCGUAGGCGGCCAACUAAGUCCGACGUGAAAUCCCAAAGCUUAACUUUGGAACUGCGUCGGAUACUGGAUGGCUUGAAUUCGGGAGAGGGAUGCAGAAUUCCAGGUGUAGCGGUGAAAUGCGUAGAUAUCAGGAAGAACACCCGUGGCGAAGGCGGCUCUCUGGGACGGUACUGACGCUGAGACGCGAAAGCGUGGGGAGCGAACAGG
rnacentral:rRNA from 1 species